rnacentral:rRNA from 1 species
GAUGAACGCUGGCGGCGUGCCUAAUACAUGCAAGUAGAACGCUGAAGGAGGAGCUUGCUCUUCUGGAUGAGUUGCGAACGGGUGAGUAACGCGUAGGUAACCUGCCUGGUAGCGGGGGAUAACUAUUGGAAACGAUAGCUAAUACCGCAUGACAACAGUUAUUGCAUGAUAACUGUUUGAAAGGGGCAACUGCUCCACUACCAGAUGGACCUGCGUUGUAUUAGCUAGUUGGUGAGGUAACGGCUCACCAAGGCGACGAUACAUAGCCGACCUGAGAGGGUGAUCGGCCACACUGGGACUGAGACACGGCCCAGACUCCUACGGGAGGCAGCAGUAGGGAAUCUUCGGCAAUGGACGGAAGUCUGACCGAGCAACGCCGCGUGAGUGAAGAAGGGUUUCGGAUCGUAAAGCUCUGUUGUAAGAGAAGAACGAGUGUGAGAGUGGAAAGUUCACACUGUGACGGUAUCUUACCAGAAAGGGACGGCUAACUACGUG